rnacentral:tRNA from 1 species
GUUAAAUUAGUCAGAGCACCGCCCUUGUCAAGGCGGAAGGGGCGGGCCCUGACAAGGCGGAAGGUGCGGGUUCGAUCCCC